GGGGUCGACUUGGUUUUGACAGCGAGUCUAAUUGAGUAGUAAGCACGUCGAGCGCUGGGAUACAGCUCGUAAAUCUCAUAUUUCACACUUUUUUAAACGGCGAUAAUAAUUACGCCUUGGCUGCGUAAUCCGAAUUAUAGUAGGAUUACCUUAGUCCCGAGAAGCUCGGGAACCAAGAUGUCUCGCGAAGGCCUUAAUUUACGGCAUUCGCACCAGAGGCACCGAUAAAGUAAAUUUAGGUAUUCUGACACCUUUAAGGAAUACCGAAAUUCUAAAGGUUACGGAAAAAUUAGGAGGUUUUUUGCCAGAUUUUUCCCGACAAUUUAAGUAAAAACUAAACGUGUAGAAAGCUAUUGAAUUGCUUGUUUGGACGGGAGUUCGAGUCUCCCCGACUCCACCU
rnacentral:tmRNA from 1 species